rnacentral:rRNA from 1 species
GAUGAACGCUGGCGGCGUGCCUAAUACAUGCAAGUCGAGCGAACAGACGAGGAGCUUGCUCCUCUGACGUUAGCGGCGGACGGGUGAGUAACACGUGGAUAACCUACCUAUAAGACUGGGAUAACUUCGGGAAACCGGAGCUAAUACCGGAUAAUAUAUUGAACCGCAUGGUUCAAUAGUGAAAGACGGUUUUGCUGUCACUUAUAGAUGGAUCCGCGCCGCAUUAGCUAGUUGGUAAGGUAACGGCUUAUCAAGGCGACGAUGCGUAGCCGACCUGAGAGGGUGAUCGGCCACACUGGAACUGAGACACGGUCCAGACUCCUACGGGAGGCAGCAGUAGGGAAUCUUCCGCAAAGGGCGAAAGCCUGACGGAGCAACGCCGCGUGAGUGAUGAAGGUCUUCGGAUCGUAAAACUCUGUUAUUAGGGAAGAACAAAUGUGUAAGUAACUAUGCACGUCUUGACGGUACCUAAUCAGAAAGCCACGGCUAACUACGUG